rnacentral:rRNA from 1 species
GAUGAACGCUAGCGGCAGGCCUAACACAUGCAAGUCGAGGGGUAGAAGCUUUCGGGCUUUGAGACCGGCGCACGGGUGCGUAACGCGUAUGCAAUCUGCCUUGUACUGAGGGAUAGCCCAGAGAAAUUUGGAUUAACACCUCAUAGUAUUUUAGUGUGGCAUCACAUUAUUAUUAAAGGUUACGGUACAAGAUGAGCAUGCGUCCCAUUAGCUAGUUGGUAUGGUAACGGCAUACCAAGGCUACGAUGGGUAGGGGUCCUGAGAGGGAGAUCCCCCACACUGGUACUGAGACACGGACCAGACUCCUACGGGAGGCAGCAGUGAGGAAUAUUGGUCAAUGGUCGCAAGACUGAACCAGCCAUGCCGCGUGCAGGAUGAAGCAUCUAUGGUGUGUAAACUGCUUUUGUACGGGAAGAAACACCGCUACGUGUAGCGGCUUGACGGUACCGUAAGAAUAAGGAUCGGCUAACUCCGUGCCAGCAGCCGCGGUAAGAC